GAUGAACGCUGGCGGCGUGCCUAACACAUGCAAGUCGAACGGAAGGGCCAGACGUUUGUGGGGUGCUCGAGUGCGGAACGGGGGAGUAACACGUGAGGAAACUGCCCUUGACUUUCGGGGAACAUCACGAGACUGCGGCGAUUACCGCAGAGGAUAUUCUGAAGCGCGGGGGGGGAAGGAAAGUGUCGGCGGUGGGGGAUGGUCUCGCUGCUUAUGAGCUGGAUGGGGAGGUUGGGGCGGACCAAGGUUUUGAAGGGUAGGCGGCCUGGGAGGGUGACCAGCCACCUUGGGCCUGAGAUACGGACCAGACUCCUACGGGAGGCAGCAGUGGGGAAUCUUGCACAGUGGGCGGACGCCUGAUGCGGCAACGCCGCGUGCGGGAUGCCGGCCUUUGGGUUGUAAACAGCUUUCGCAUGAGCCGAGGCGUGCGUGACGGUAAUGAGUCAAGAAGCACCGGCUAACUACGUG
rnacentral:rRNA from 1 species